GAAACCCCCGAGGCACGGGGAGAACAUGCAAACUCCACACACACAAGGCGGAGGCGGGAAUCGAACCCCCGACCCUGGAGGUGUGAGGCGAACGUGCUAACCACUAAGCCACCUUGCCCCCCUCUCCCUCUUCAGCUUUCAGUCAUUUCCUCCUCUGAUAAAGAAACUCUUCAUCCUCCUCACUGCUCCUACCACUUUAUGGCCUUAUGAGCUCUUUUAAGGUUUAAUAUGUUUUAUGAAGAACUUUUAUCUUUACUGGAAACGUCUCUGUCAUAUUAAGGGAAAUUUCUAAAACAAAUUUUCACAGAAACAACGUUAUCCUGAACGUAGUCACACAGCCGUCAUGUUUGCUGACGUUAACAGAUGUAUAUCGAUGCAUGUGUGUGUAAUUUAUCUUUAUUUUAUUAUUAACAUUCUUUAGUAGAAUGCGGUCAGAAGUAAAGCUGUAAGUUUUCCAGAAUUAGGAAAUUUAUGCUUUGCAUCACACCAGAUUCCUGUCUCGCUGUUUUCUGCCAUCACAUCUGGAAAAAAAAAAAUCAUAAAUUAGCGUCUAAUCUCCUGAGAAGCUCUCGAGUGUUUUACUACUUUAUUAUUUUUGGACAUUCCCACCGCUGUUACUGAGCACCAUCAGGAAUUUUCUGGGCAGAUCGAGGGCCUCGGAGAGCGUUCGGAUCUCUCAGUAAACACUAUCGGUAUCUGAGCGCUAAGAGCUUUGUAGCCGUGGAAAGAAACCAGAUGGAUUGUGUUGUGGGCGACAGGACGCAGAGCAACACAAAGUAAUUGCCUUAUUUAGCACGAGCGCCCGAGCUGUUUACAGUGCGGAUGCUGUGCCUUCGGCGGCUCGGGAGCCGAUUUUAAAAAAGAAAAAAACAAGAAGCAUGCAUUCAUUCUUCUGUGGGUCUCAAAAUAAAAUAAAUACGGUGUCAGAACCAGGAGGAAACACUGGAAGUCUUCCUGCUCAGCUUGAGGUCACUCGGUCUCACGCUCUCGGGUCACGUUCAGGUUCACUUACACUUAUCUGCUUCGUCCAGCUGCAGUCAUUUUCAUUCAUGUCCUUUACAGUUCAUUGUGGCUGCUUUUGUAUAUUUAUUUUUUGCAUCCUGCUGGUUUUCUGGUGGUUCAGCGUCCAUUAACAUCGAUCUGCUUUUACACAAUCACCAACCAUCUUCUCAUCACCCCCUGGUUUACUCCAUGUUCUUACAUGAAGCUGAAAUUCAUCUGAAUCUUCUAUAUUUUAACUUUACUUUACAGACUGAUGAAGAUGAAGAAGGCCUCAGUGUUGGUUCACUAUAACACGGUCUGCGUGGCAGCUUGUACAGCUGGAAGAACCUUUUGUUUGUCAGAGCAUGUUGUUGUUUUUUCCCGAUGACGCAGCGACGUGUUGGUUGCGUUUACUCUCAUAAUGUUUCCAGAUGGUUUAUUUAAAUGAGAUUUUAGUGUUAGGCAGAGAUUUGAGCUUGUGAAUGGAAGAUUGUGGGUGAGAGAGAUUUCUGUUACAGAGCAAAUGUUUUGUCUGUUGGAUUUUAUCUGGUGUAAAAAAAUUUCAGCUUCUCCACAAUGGGUGGGAGAUCAUUUUCCAUCAUUGCUCUGAAUCAUUUUAAAUGUAUUUACAUUUAUUAUUGCAUUUGGCAGACACUUAAAAAAGUGUGAACAAAAGUGUGAACAAAAAUGUGAACAAAAAUAUGAACGUAUAAGUAAUCGAACAAAAACACAAAAAAGCAUGCAAGAGCCCCCUCCAAAGGAAAUCUCCUCAAUAUAUACCCUGGCACCUCUAGGUGCGUCUAUACCUUCUUACGUCACUCCACCUGACCUGUCUGGGGUUUUUCUGGGACUCUACAGAAUCGCCUGUGACUCCCCUCAUUUCCCCCGAAAACAAGUCUGCCUUUUACCGAAAAUCAAGUCUGGCCUUUUGUUUUUUUCUGUUGUUGUUCCCGACGUACUUCUGACUUAUUAUUAAAAAAAUAUGCUGCGUUGUCAAAACUGUUGUUAAAAAUGUGCUCCAGAGAACAGAAGACACGUCCCGUGGACCAAUCUCCCGAUCCUUUACAGUUACAAUGAGUGAGUUUUCCUCUAUCUUUUUCUCUAUGUUGUCUGUAUAUGAUUUCCACUGAUCAUACGCCUAUAUACGUAUAUACAUGUGAAUACGAUAACCAUGACAUACACAUAAACCUUUGUAUGAGAUAUUCGCACACACACAUACAUACAUAUACUAUAUCAAUCACAUCUCUCCCUACAUAUAAAGUGAUCGAUGAAGAUAUGCUAUCACCUAUGGUAUAUGAGUACUGAAUUAUCAUAUAAUUAUGACAGGAGUUCAUGAUCAUGAGUUAGGAUUAUGGGUUUUGAUUAAAAUAACCUUCUGGUUUAGAAUCAUCUGGAUCAUUUGUUAGUAGCAUUCGACUGUUGAUCAAAGUUUGUUUGAUUAUUAUAAGAGUACUAUCACUACAUUUGCUGAGCCUUUGCAUUUUAUAACGUUGUUUUGCACGUAUGUGGAGGUCUGUUUAUGUUGACUCCUUAAGCUUACUAAACCUAUGAGCUGAACAUUGUUAUGAUCUCAUUCUGUCCAUGUCCAGACUGGACUUGCACAGACAUGCAUAUUUUAAGCCUUAGUUUCUCUAGUUCCACUAAAGGUCAGGCUCCUCGCCCUUCUCCCUUCAUGAGGCCUGUUUCAGCUGAACUCUUGACUUUCACUUCCUCACACAUUGUUGAUCAGAGAGCUCAGACUGACGAGGCCUGACAGCACUGAUUUCGCACCGUAUUCGACCACGUCGCUGGAGGGGAGAGCACAGAGGAGUGUCUCCUGAAAAUUUCCCAGGGGAGCCACAGCACAGCGGAAUCUACUGUUGUCCUGUCCUGUCUUUAGUCCAUCUCAUGUUUAGUGUUUCUUUUGUUAUUAAACCCUGUUUGUUUUGC